CUGGACUUUUACUCUGUGUAUUGCAUUACUUACAGAAGAAGUACAUCACCUGAAGAAAUCUCUAAGGUACUCAAGACAGAGAAUAAACAUUUUUAACCAUCAAAUAUUUUAUUUCUCCCUUCACAUUAAGGGAAGUACGGUGACUAAGCUGAAAAUGCCUGUGUUGCUCCUUGUAUAUGGAAAGUAUAACAGUCUGUGUACAGUGCCAAUAUCAACAUACCGCUUAUUUGCCGAACAGGGCUGGCUAACAUCAAAAGCACACCUUUAAGAGAGUACUGAAAGGCACAGAUCCACAACUGCACUCAAGUAAGAAUAGGAUAAGGAGGUGACUGUGUCUAAAUCUGUUCAUCAUUUUAUAUCCCAGAUGGAGUGAAAGACAGAAAUACUGUACCUCACUCCUAGCUCUCUUAAACCAGUCACAUGUACCAUUUCAGCUCUCUGUUUAGCUCCAAGCAUGUCAAAGCCAAUGUUAAUGAAAUGUGAUCUCUCAUUCCUUCUUCCCUGCACAGCUGUUUAAUUAGAGGACUGAGCGAGGAAAUAGAAACAUCACAAAUACAGAGUGUACUCAUCUCCGUAUAUGUGCCAUUAAUAAUAACCUUCAAGCCAGCUUCCAUGGAUUAUUAUUUGUGGCAAAGGAGGCUAUAUACUGUAGCCAGGAGAAAAGGUGAAGCAGGCAAGAAGAAAGGGCCUACAACUCCUCCUUGCCUGCAGGGUUUCUCGUUGACCACCACACACAGUGCUCAUGGACUCUCCUAGGCACAGAGCUGGUCCUGCAGGCCUCACUAAUCACUAUACUCAUGUGGCAACAUCCCUGAUCUCUGCUUGGUGAGUGAGGAAACCAACAAAUCGCUGUCUCACAUGUGACAUUUUGGUGGCAUUUUUUAAUCAGAUAAAUCUCUUCAGCUUUCAGUGUCUCUUCUUGAAUGUGACUACCACAGCAUUGUUCUACCCUUGUCACCCUCAACCACUACCAUAAUAAGCACAAAUAGUUUUAUAAAACAAAACGCAAAAAUGUAGUGUGAGAAGAACUAUGAAACUGUGAAACAGUAUGGCUUCCUGACACAAUUACAAUAAUGAAUCCCAUCAGCUGAGACUGCAGCUCCUAUACCUUCAGUGACUCAAUGAAAACACACUUCUUUGGUAACAUCUGAGGUCAUGCAGAAUUUGAAAGGCCUUGUCCCACUUCAUGCCCACUCCAGUUUCUUAAAAUUCAGACCAUCCAGUCCAUGCCCAGCCA
rnacentral:lncRNA from 1 species